UACAGCCAUAUCACGUUGUAACAUCGGUUCCCAUACGAUCGGCGAUAGGUUAAGUAACGUCGAGCCUGGUCAGUACCUAGAUGGGUGACCACCUAGGAAUAUCAGGUGUUGUAAG